rnacentral:rRNA from 1 species
CCUACGGGUGGCAGCAGUGGGGGAUAUUGCACAAUGGGGGAAACCCUGAUGCAGCGACGCCGCGUGGGCGAAGAAGUAUUUCGGUAUGUAAAGCCCUAUCAGCAGGGAAGAAGAAAUGAUGGUACCUGAGUAAGAAGCACCGGCUAAAUACGUGACAGCAGCCGCGGUAAUACGUGUGGUGCAAGCGUUAUCCGGUUUUACUGGGUGUAAAGGGAGCGCAGGCGGCACGGCAAGCCUGUUGUAAAAGCCCGGGGCUCAACCGCGGGCCUGCAAUGGGAACUACCGGGCUGGAGUGCCGGAGAGGUAGGCGGAAUUCCUAGUGUAGCGGUGAAGUGCGUAGAUAUUAGGGGGAACACCAGGGGCGAAGGCGGCCUACUGGACGUUGACUGACGCAGGGGCGCGAGAGCGUGGAGAGCAAACAGGAUGAGAUACCCUGUGUC